rnacentral:rRNA from 1 species
AAACCAACAGGGAUUGCCUCAGUAACGGCGAGUGAAGCGGCAAAAGCUCAAAUUUGAAAUCCCCCCGGGGAGUUGUAAUUUGAAGAUUGCGUCUUGGAGGCGACCGUGUCUAUGUUCCUUGGAACAGGACGUCACAGAGGGUGAGAAUCCCGUGCGGCACGGCCCCCGGCUCCUUAUAAGGCGCUCUCGACGAGUCGAGUUGUUUGGGAAUGCAGCUCAAAGUGGGUGGUAAAUUCCAUCUAAAGCUAAAUACAGGCGAGAGACCGAUAGCGAACAAGUACAGUGAUGGAAAGAUGAAAAGCACUUUGAAAAGAGAGUGAAACAGCACGUGAAAUUGUUGAAAGGGAAGGGCAUGCCGUCAGAUUGUCAGUGUGGGUAAGAAGCGGGGUACAAAGACUGUGGAACGUGGCCCUCGGGUGUUAUAAGCCGC